rnacentral:lncRNA from 1 species
UCCAGUAGGAGGAAAGGAAUCAAACAUAUAUGGAAGAGUGAACUAUCCAUACAGUAAAGAAAUUUCUCAAGUCGACAUAUAUAUAUAUAUAUAUAUAUAUAUAUAUAUAUAUAUAUAAACUGUGAUAUGAAUACUAUGUUCUUUCCCCUUAUAGAAGGGCAUCAUGAUAGAGGGUGAACCUUGGUGCCGCAGCUAAUUUGUUUUGCGACCUGGGUGCCUAGUGUAUUGGUCAUGCAAAUAGUCUCUCUUCUUACAGAAGACUGCAUAAAUUGACUCUCCUCAUACCCCACAUUAGCAAGAGCUUUUUGCAUUGAGCUGCCAUCCUUGCUUAGAUGUUUACCAUGGUAAGAUAUGCACAUGUUCAAAAGAAUGUAUGUGAAUAUCCCCAGUAAAAUUUAGGUUUGUUUCAUUUCACAUAAUUGUGCAGGUAUUUUUGCUGUUUACAGCACAUUAUCUAAAUAAGGCAGAUCAUGUAUUUCAUGAUGUGACAUAGAAGCUUAGGUUUUCUGAUGAGCUUGUAUAUGGCUUUCAUCUACUACUGGAACCAUCAUGCUUGGUGGUGUCCAUACUUUCAUUACAUACGAAUUAUCUUUCUUUGAUUUCUUCAGGUGUGCUCGGCUCUGCAGUCCAGAUUUUUGUUAACAAGUGUGUAUCAAGCAAGUCAUGUAUAAGUUUCAAAACUGAAAAAUAGGGAUAUAUUCAAAUAUGAAAAAUUACAUUUCCACUAUGUUCCACCUUGAAUAUAUCACCACCAACUGAGCUUGCUUGGACCAUAGGCUAAAACUACAUGGUACUAUGCAACUCACAUGCCUAGAUACAUGAUUGGAAAGCUGCCCAAGCAGGGUAAGAACAUGUCAAUUAGGAUAGAUCGGCUCGUCAGACCAUGUGUCCCCCAUUUUUCCUAAAAACAACUAGCAUCAGACAAAAGAAACUUGGAGUAAUAUCCUAGUUCUGGACUAUGUAGGUCAAGUCCAGCCCCCUUUUUUUCAUUAUGGAUGCUCCUUGCUCCAUUCACAUGGUUUCUGCUCCCAAGAUCUAAUGAAAAUUUACAAGUAGCCUCCUAUCUGAGACUAAACAGCAGAGCUUCGGCACCAUGUCAAAAGCUGGACCCAACAAAAGAACCUCUGUAGUUGUAGGAGUAAGGCACUAUAUAUUGGCGCUCCCCAAACCCCACAUUGGCAAAAGCAUUAUGCACUCGAUUGCCUGCUUUGUCUAAGAUUUGAAUUUUGAAGUUUACUUUUGUUUAUGAAUCAAAUUGAAAACCAGACAUUCAUUGUGCUUCACUCUGUACGAGCUAAAAACUGUACAUUCUAUGCAAUAAGAAUUUUGGAUCAGCAGUAGGAUACACAGGCACCUUCCUAAAUAGUUGGUGUACAGGAGUAAUCUGCAAGUCUAUGGUAAUCAUAGUAACUUU